CAAGAGUUUUGCGUGCCCACAUAAAGGCCAUAGACAAGGUGAGGGUACAAGCGCAAGUGGGGGAAAUCAAGGUCAAAAUGCAGGGGGUAAGGAGAUGCAGACAGCAGAGGCUGGGCCUAGUCAGUCUAGAGAUGGUGGUGUAGAUGAGGCUGGGCCUAGUCAGGCUAGAGAUGGUGGUGUAGAUGAGGCUGGGCCUAGUAGGGUAGUGGAGGCUGGGUCUAGUCAGGCUAGAGAUGGUAGGGUAGUGGAGGCUGGGUUUAGUCAGGCUAGAGAUGGUGGAGAAGCAGAGGCUGGGUCUAGUCAGGCUAGAGAUGGUAGGGUAGUGGAGGCUGGGUCUAGUCAGGCUAGAGAUGGUGGAGAAGCGGAGGCUGGGUCUAGUCAGGCUAGAGAUGGUGGGGUAGCUGAGGCUGGGCCUAGACAUGCUAUGGAGGGUGGUGCAGAUGAUGCUGGGCCGAGUCAUGCUAUGGAGGGUGGUGCAGAUGAUACUGCGUCUAGUCAGGUUAUUCUAGUGGAUGAGGAGAGUAUAGUGGGGAAGUGUAAGAGAUUAGGGGGAGAGGAGGAGGGUGUCAAGAGGAAAAGGAAAAAGGGUGUAGACAAAGGCACCAUGGAAAUGUUGCCUGUUGCUGUGGGUGAGGCCCUAACCAGAGAGAAAGGGCAGGUGGUCAGGGUGGGAGAUAGAGAAGAGGAGGAAAGUGAGUCUGAGGAAGAGGAUGAGGAGUUAUUUUUUUCAGACUCCUCUUCAAUUGGCCCGGAGCUGACAGCCAG
ensembl:lncRNA